GAGGGUGUAGCUCAGUGGUAGAGCACGUGCUUAGCAUGCACGAGGUCCUGGGUUCAACCCCCAGUACCUCCA
rnacentral:tRNA from 1 species